rnacentral:rRNA from 1 species
UACGUAGGGUGCGAGCGUUAAUCGGAAUUACUGGGCGUAAAGCGUGCGCAGGCGGUUUGUUAAGACAGAUGUGAAAUCCCCGGGCUUAACCUGGGAACUGCAUUUGUGACUGGCAAGCUAGAGUAUGGCAGAGGGGGGUAGAAUUCCACGUGUAGCAGUGAAAUGCGUAGAGAUGUGGAGGAACACCGAUGGCGAAGGCAGCCCCCUGGGUCAAGACUGACGCUCAUGCACGAAAGCGUGGGGAGCAAACAGG